rnacentral:rRNA from 1 species
GAUGAACGCUGGCGGCGUGCCUAAUACAUGCAAGUCGAGCGAACAGACGAGGAGCUUGCUCCUCUGACGUUAGCGGCGGACGGGUGAGUAACACGUGGAUAACCUACCUAUAAGACUGGGAUAACUUCGGGAAACCGGAGCUAAUACCGGAUAAUAUAUUGAACCGCAUGGUUCAAUAGUGAAAGAUGGUUUUGCUGUCACUUAUAGAUGGAUCCGCGCCGCAUUAGCUAGUUGUUAAGGUAACGGCUUACCAAGGCAACGAUGCGUAGCCGACCGGAGAGGGUGAUCGGCCACACUGGAACUGAGACACGGUCCAGACUCCUACGGGAGGCAGCAGUAGGGAAUCUUCCGCAAUGGGCGAAAGCUUGACGGAGCAACGCCGCGUGGGUGAUGAAGUUCUUCGGAUCGUAAAACUCUUUUAUUAGGGAAGAACAAAUGUGUAAGUAACUAUGCACGUCUUGACGGUACCUAAUCAGAAAGCCACGGCUAACUACGUG